CUAGUAACGGCGAGUGAAGCGGCAACAGCUCAAAUUUGAAAUCUGGCUCUUUCAGGGUCCGAGUUGUAAUUUGCAGAGGGCGCUUUGGCGUUGGCAGCGGUCCAAGUUCCUUGGAACAGGACGUCACAGAGGGUGAGAAUCCCGUACGUGGUCGCUGGCCUCCGCCGUGUAAAGCCCCUUCGACGAGUCGAGUUGUUUGGGAAUGCAGCUCUAAAUGGGAGGUAAAUUUCUUCUAAAGCUAAAUACUGGCCAGAGACCGAUAGCGCACAAGUAGAGUGAUCGAAAGAUGAAAAGCACUUUGGAAAGAGAGUCAAAUAGCACGUGAAAUUGUUGAAAGGGAAGCGCUUGCAGCCAGACUUGCCUGUAGUUGCUCACCCGGGCUCCUGCCCGGUGCACUCUUCUAUAGGCAGGCCAGCAUCAGUUUGGGCGGUUGGAUAAAGGUCUCUGUCAUGUACCUCUCUUCGGGGAGGCCUUAUAGGGGAGACGACAUGCAACCAGCCUGGACUGAGGUCCGCGCAUUUGCUAGGAUGCUGGCGUAAUGGCUGUAAGCGGCCCGUCUUGAAACACGGACCAAGGAGUCUAACAUCUAUGCGAGUGUUUGGGUGUCAAGCCCGAACGCGUAAUGAAAGUGAACGGAGGUGGGAACCCUUACGGGCGCACCAUCGACCGAUCCUGAUGUCUUCGGAAGGAUUUGAGUAAGAGCAUGGCUGUUGGGACCCGAAAGAUGGUGAACUAUGCUUGAAUAGGGUGAAGCCAGAGGAAACUCUGGUGGAGGCUCGCAGCGGUUCUGACGUGCAAAUCGAUCGUCAAAUUUGGGCAUAGGGGCGAA
rnacentral:rRNA from 1 species